GUCCCGAUAGCUCAGCUGGAUAGAGCAACGGACUUCUAAUCCGUAGGUCGGGGGUUCGAAUCCCUCUCGGGACGCCA
rnacentral:tRNA from 5 species